AGGAGAUUUGGUGAUGGUGAGAGAUUUUUGAAUGUUGGAGAUAGAAGAUCAAUUCCAGUUCUAGCUUUAAGAAUUAUCAAGCUUGUAUUCGAGUCUCAUUACAUUAUUUUAAAUGAAUGUCAUUACUAUCCUAGUUUUCUUUUGAACGUUAUUUCUGUAGACCUUUUGGCCAAGUCAAAUUAUGAAAUAUCAAUAAAAUUUUUUUUAUGAUAUUAUUUUGAAUGGUGUUAUAAUAAUACGUGGACGGUUAAACAAUGGUAUCUAUAUUGUA
rnacentral:lncRNA from 1 species